rnacentral:rRNA from 1 species
GAUGAACGCUGGCGGCGUGCCUAAUACAUGCAAGUCGAGCGAACGGACGAGAAGCUUGCUUCUCUGAUGUUAGCGGCGGACGGGUGAGUAACACGUGGAUAACCUACCUAUAAGACUGGGAUAACUUCGGGGAACCGGAGCUAAUACCGGAUGAUAUUUUGAACCGCAUGGUUCAAAAGUGAAAGACGGUCUUGCUGUCACUUAUAGAUGGAUCCGCGCUGCAUUAGCUAGUUGGUAAGGUAACGGCUUACCAAGGCAACGAUGCAUAGCCGACCUGAGAGGGUGAUCGGCCACACUGGAACUGAGACACGGUCCAGACUCCUACGGGAGGCAGCAGUAGGGAAUCUUCCGCAAUGGGCGAAAGCCUGACGGAGCAACGCCGCGUGAGUGAUGAAGGUCUUCGGAUCGUAAAACUCUGUUAUUAGGGAAGAACAUAUGUGUAAGUAACUGUGCACAUCUUGACGGUACCUAAUCAGAAAGCCACGGCUAACUACGUGCCAGCAGCCGCGGUAAUACGUAGGUGGCAAGCGUUAUCCGGAAUUAUUGGGCGUAAAGCGCGCGUAGGCGGUUUUUUAAGUCUGAUGUGAAAGCCCACGGCUCAACCGUGGAGGGUCAUUGGAAACUGGAAAACUUGAGUGCAGAAGAGGAAAGUGGAAUUCCAUGUGUAGCGGUGAAAUGCGCAGAGAUAUGGAGGAACACCAGUGGCGAAGGCGACUUUCUGGUCUGUAACUGACGCUGAUGUGCGAAAGCGUGGGGAUCAAACAGGAUUAGAUACCCUGGUAGUCCACGCCGUAAACGAUGAGUGCUAAGUGUUAGGGGGUUUCCGCCCCUUAGUGCUGCAGCUAACGCAUUAAGCACUCCGCCUGGGGAGUACGACCGCAAGGUUGAAACUCAAAGGAAUUGACGGGGACCCGCACAAGCGGUGGAGCAUGUGGUUUAAUUCGAAGCAACGCGAAGAACCUUACCAAAUCUUGACAUCCUUUGACAACUCUAGAGAUAGAGCCUUCCCCUUCGGGGGACAAAGUGACAGGUGGUGCAUGGUUGUCGUCAGCUCGUGUCGUGAGAUGUUGGGUUAAGUCCCGCAACGAGCGCAACCCUUAAGCUUAGUUGCCAUCAUUAAGUUGGGCACUCUAAGUUGACUGCCGGUGACAAACCGGAGGAAGGUGGGGAUGACGUCAAAUCAUCAUGCCCCUUAUGAUUUGGGCUACACACGUGCUACAAUGGACAAUACAAAGGGCAGCGAAACCGCGAGGUCAAGCAAAUCCCAUAAAGUUGUUCUCAGUUCGGAUUGUAGUCUGCAACUCGACUACAUGAAGCUGGAAUCGCUAGUAAUCGUAGAUCAGCAUGCUACGGUGAAUACGUUCCCGGGUCU